UUGACUGUAAAAUCGUAUAAUUCCUUCAAAAUUGUACAAUAUUCUGACGUUGUUACAAAUUAUCUUCUUAUUGCCUUGUCGGGAAAGACUUCGGUUUUAUCUAUAUCCAAGUGAAGACUGUGAGUCGUCAUCAUUUCAUAGUAAAUCUUUGAACAGUUAGUUCGAAAGAGAAUGCAGCCAUUGUGUGCAGAUGAGAUUCAAGAUGUGCAAUUCUUGCUUGCCAAACUUAGGGGUCUGUUUACUUGAGAAAUAAGUUAUCUCAUAAUUAAUUAUUUCGGGAUUGUUAUCUUACAUUCUCAUAGUAUAACACUACAAUCUAUCACGGACUUAGUUAUACCGUAAUUUAUUUCAAUCAAAUGUGGAAUAAAUUUAUCUCAAAAUUUAAUUUUG
rnacentral:lncRNA from 1 species